rnacentral:lncRNA from 1 species
AUGAGGAUCUCCAUUCCCCACUGUUAUGGUGAAUGGAGCCAGUGCCACAGGGGAAGAGGCAUGAUUAGAGGUCUGACUAUUUCCUUAAAGACUAAAAGAGAAGAGCCCAGGUCUUGUUCUUUGUAUCCAUCACAGCAUCUAAUACAAGAGUCAUCAAAGUGCAGUGGCAAGAUAAAAGUCAAGAUGACUGGCAAUGGCCUGGGAUGCAGUGGAUGACCCUGGCAUCUUUAGUGUCUGACCAAGCUCUAGGCACUGCACAGCACCUGUUUCAGCUGCCUUCAUGGUCAUUGGAAUGAAUUUUUCUCACCUGCCUAAUUCUCCAGAGAUGUCUUCACUUGCUUGGGGUAGACAUCCCCUAACUCACCAAUGGAGCUGAGACCUGUUGGUUAUCCUCAACCUGUUAAGAUGGUUUUACUGGGGUAUGGCCACUCUGCAUGUGGCUUCUUUGAGCCAGCAAUGAGAACUGGGUAAAAGGUAGACAUCGAAGGUGGAUGGAUGGGCAGCCCUGAAAGGGGUUCACACCGAAGAGCUAGUCCUCCCAGAACACUCCCAAAAUGAGUAAGGAAUAAAAACCGAUAGUCCCCAUGCUACCUUGGUAUC